CGUUGGCGGCGCGAGAGCCGUGUGAGAGGGCGCGUGAAGGGCUGUCGAGGAAAGGCGGUAGCGGCGUUCCUGGCGGCCUUCGCACGUCACGUAUUUGCAGUGAGCGCCGCGUGGCAGCAGCCCCGUGCAGGCAGCCCCAAGGCGGGCACAGCACGCGGAGCCGCUGGGCAGCCAGCCCGCACCUGCAGUGAUGAAGGUGAGGUGGCGCGGCUGAGGGCCAGGUACUUAUCAGAGCUCUUGACCUCACGCAAAGGUUUGAAAUUGGAAAUACAUAUGUCCGGAUGACUAAAACAUGAAAAACAGAUAGGAGCAGCAGCAUGUAAAGUAUAGUGAACUAGAAGCAUUAAUAGAAAUAUUUCCGCUAUAGCAGCUAUUAAAUGAUUUUUUUUACUGUUUCUAAGAAAAACCCAUAUGUUUAUAGGAUUUUUUCCCCCAAUUAAAGUGUGUGUGUGUGUCUUUCUCUAAAUAUUAUUUAGACUCACACACAGAGCGCAUGUAUAAAAUUAUCUAUCAGCAAAGCAAAGGCUGUUGCUCCUUUUGUGUCUUGCCCCGCUGGCAGGCAGGAAGGGGCCCCAGUCCAACACCACUGACAACUUGGCAGCAGCUGCCCAGGGCACGGGCACAGUUUGGAGGGAUGGUCCAUGCCCCACUGAGGCCUGUGGAACCGCAGCCCCGCCUUCCUGCUGUACGCACCAGGACUUUGCCAGCAGUUCAGAACAAAAGAAAAUAUCUACCAGCAAAAGAAGACAGCAGACUGGAAGUGGAUCUUUGUGCGUUUUGAGCAUGUUCUCUGAUGGGCUGACAGCACCCACACCCUCCUCCAGACCCCACAGGAGACCGUGUGUAUGUGAGAAGCCCGUGGCACGGCAGGUCAGCCUUGCAUGAGAGGAAUUUGUUGACUGUGCUGACCCAAGUGGGCUCACAGAAGUCUUUCAGCCUCUGUUAACACCGCUCAGAUCAGUCCUUCUGACAUGCAGAUAUUCCCCCCUCCCAUUCUGCAGACCUUGUUCCACUUAAACUCAGCAGAAAUUUUUAAAAAGCCCAGUAAAUUACUUGACAAAUUAAGUCAUAUUUAUUGAAUGCGUUUUAUUUCAACAACCAAAAAAUUCUAACAGCCUAACAAUGCACAUAAGUUAAAAAUUAAUUAUCACUUAGUGAUAACAAAGAUAAAGUUGAUUUACAUGGAAAAAAAAGAACAUUUACAAUAUGUUAAUCCUUAUUCACAUUGUUGAUACCGCAAUAAAACACAAUUUGUUUUUUUAUUUUUUAUUUUUUAUUUCACAAAAAAGGCGGAAAAUUGUGCUUUGUUAAGAGGCACUACAAGAAAAGUUUCUUUCUCCAAAUAGAUAUUAUAUGAUGGAUAUUGAAUAAAUAGACAUAUAUGCAUUGUAAUUCGCAAAGUUCUGGCAAGACCACAGGCUAAAAUGCCCACAGAUUCACUUAGAAUCACUGCAAAACUGGCAGUGAAAUUUAAAAUAAAAAGGCAAGACUCAGCAUUGAAAAAAUACCUAAUAAAAUUUUUGGUUGAAGUGUAAAAGAUACCAAAUGUUGAUGCCAUCAUCAGAUGAACAACUUAACGUAGCUUGGCAAAAUUCAGUUUCCUUUCAAAUGUGUGGAGUGAUUUCAGCUACAGGAUAAGAAGACAGUUUUGAAAGAGUAGCUCUGAGAGAAACAAAGCAGCAACCAUCGAAAUUCUGAUUAAAGCUGCAGCAUACUACAGAAGUAAAGGAUGAAGAGCAAAAAGGGGUAUUAAGUACGCAACCCACCAAUAUUUUGCAAAGGUAUAUGAGAUUUAUGCAGAGAUACUCUUACAUUUCAAACAUUACUUUUGAAAAAAUCCCUUAAAAAUUCCAGAGGUUACUGAGCAGCUAGAAUUAGCUUGUAUUGCAACGUCUUCUCCCUGUAUAUUGUCUGUUCUGAGUAAAUAUCUACACAUAGAGGUUCGUUUUUCAUUUUUAUCUCCUAGCUUUUAUACCUUUCAAAUAUAUAAAUAGUAUUAACAGUUAUAUUACAUCGCCUGGUGUAGUAAACAGAAAAUAACUUUCAAAGUGAUAUUGCAUGAGGUCUUUGUCAAGGUUACAUGAAAAGCCUGCGAAGAAAAAAGAAACAACCAGAAACCUUGGUGGUACAGUUACGGUUGCAGUUUGAACAGGCGUCUGAAAUCAAUCCAGCUGCAAAGGCAGUAGCGAAGGUGAGAUCUUUCCUUGGAAAUCCUUGCACAGAAGUGAAAAGUAAAUACUACUUGGUGCCCCUUGCGACACGAUGCCUCAAAACAGGUGGAAACUAUAGUAGAUUGCAGCUUUCGUGCUCACGCCAUUGAAAAGUCAGUCAGUAUUAGCUCUGCUUUAUAUAACUUGAUGUAGUUGCUAGCUAGGUUGCUGCGAAACCCUUCGAGGAGGAGGUGAGUGAGUGUGAAGGGCCAGGUGCCCCGUGGCAGGGAGGUCUCGGGCGCUCAGCGCUGCAGGAGCUGCAGACUGGGAGACCCGUGGCUGAAAACACUUCAUUUCACUGGCACAAAAUGCAUGACACAGAGGAAGCCCAGCUAAAACAGAAACAUGGGGAGGCUGGAGAGGAGGGUGAAUGGGAAUCGGCAACACAAACGCUUUAUCUCUCAGCAGUCUACCUGGACAGGAUUGUUGGGAUUGUGGCAUUCUGUGUCCCAAUGUAACUUUACACUUGCGUGUGUGUGUGUGUGUGUGUGUACGUGUUUCACUUCAGUAAAAACAAAAAGCAACAAGAAGGAAGCUUAUAAAUCUUAAGGUCUGAAACAGAGAACAAGUAAAUAAAAUCCACAGUAAAACGUGGUUCAUAGUAUGAAUUCCAUACAUCAAAUCUCAACACAUAAUUUUUCUUCUCUUUCUAUAAAGACCUCUUUAGCGGACAAGUCUUCUGUGCACUGAAUCUCAGUUUUAGUCAUUCUUACUCCCAUGAAGAUUCAUCUGUUCACCACAGAAAGGACUGUCUGGAGAGUGGAACGUGCCGUAUCCUUUUAAGUGCGCAUUUUGUUUAAAGUAUGUUAACUUACUAGUUUUCUUUUUAAGGUGCCCUGAUUUGUUUUUCCAUUUUCUCUCUUUCUUUCCUCUUUUCUUUUUUUGGCAGUGUUGAUUUACGUCUUUAAAUACAUACUCAAAAAUUACCCAUCAAGUUGCCAGAUAGGAAGCCAUAUAACAAUAAUUAAAAAAAAUAUAUCAGGGAUAAACAUAGAAAAUAAAUAGGAAUUCAAAAAUAGUCACCACACCCUGAGAGCAGGCGGCAGUUUAUCUCAAAAAGCCCAAGCAACUCAUUGUGAAGUGGUUUUAAUACAUAAACGAGUCUCA